rnacentral:rRNA from 1 species
UACGAAGGGGGCUAGCGUUGUUCGGAAUUACUGGGCGUAAAGCGCACGUAGGCGGAUACUUAAGUUAGGGGUGAAAUCCCGGGGCUCAACCCCGGAACUGCCUUUGAUACUGGGUAUCUGGAGUCCGAGAGAGGUGAGUGGAAUUCCGAGUGUAGAGGUGAAAUUCGUAGAUAUUCGGAGGAACACCAGUGGCGAAGGCGGCUCACUGGCUCGGUACUGACGCUGAGGCGCGAAGGCGUGGGGAGCGAACGGG